UAUAAAUAUUUGAUACAAGAUAUCCAACACAUACAUCUAGAUCAGUACUAGCAAGGUAAUGGUCAUGUUGAGGAUAUUUUGUGUUUGUACAUGAAAAUCUAUGUUGACGUGUAUCAAGGAUCUAGGUCGAAACUGGUGCUUCCUCUUGAAUUCUACGUUGGACUAAUUUCAGUUUACCCUCCCCCCCUUCUAAGGUUUGAGUCUAACAUCAUGUUAAUCCCUGUGGUUUCAAGUUAAUCAGUAACACCCCUAAACGUUUUGAUUCCAAUAGCCGUGUCCAAUUUCACUCGUUUUGUCCAAUUUAGACGUUAACUCCUACAAUAGAGCCCAAUUUAAAGGCAAAAAUGGUCAAGAUUAAAAAAAAGAAAAAAGAAGGGGGGGUGAAAUUUGCACACCCCCUUUUGCAUUCUACACACCCUUUGCUUUUGUUUAAUAUUUCUUAUCAUUUCACUCCAAAACUACCCUUCUCUCUCUCUCUCUCUCCUCUCUCUCCAUCCGCAGAACCCCAAUUUUUUUCGAUGACACCACAGAACCCCAUUUGUGCAAGAGAAGGGCGCAAUCUAUGGCCUGGAUAGUCUCCUCCUCGGCGCUCUCCCUCUCCUUCUUCAACACGUCUGUUGGAAUACGCCUGGUGAAACCCGCCGGGGAUGAGACUGGGGCGGUGGCGGGCGCCCUCGUCGUCACCGAAGACUCCCAUGCAGAGGUGGAGGAGGCCUCGUCGAUGCAGCGCUCGGUGCUCUAGUACCACUCAUUGUCGCCGUCGAUGAUGGCGUGGCCGGGCUCCAUGUAGGCGGAAAGGGCGGCGAUGGUCUGGUCGACGGGGGCGCCUGCCUUGACGAGAAUCGUCAUCUAGGGCGCUGGAGGGAGAGGACGAAGUCUUUGGGGUUGUACUGACCAGAGAGAGGGAGGUUGCCUUUGGGGUUCUGUGGAUGGAGAGAGAGAGAGAGAGAGAGAAGGGUAGUUUUAGAGUGAAAUGAUAAGAAAUAUUAAAAAAAAGCAAACGGUGUGUAGAAUGUAAGAGGGGGUGUGCAAAUUUCACCCCCAAAAAAAAAAACUCCAUACAAGCUUCGUAGUUUGAGAAGCUUUCCUUCAAAAGAGGCGAGUUAAUUCGGUUGACGACCCAACAUAUCCUUGCCUCUUCUUCAUCUUGACUCAGCAGCAUGUUCUGAAAUUCUGAUGCUUUACGAAUAUGAAAUUGGAUCCCCUUUGCGGAUUGGUGAGUUCAGUCAGAGUUAGUUCGACGAUUGUGGGGGUGGCGAUGGAGUCAUGGUGCGGCGGUGGUUGAGGAGUCUUAGACCGAGGUUGGGUCUGCGUCAGUGCUCAAAGUGAGGGUCGAAUUUUGGUGAUGCUGACGGCGAUAACAGAGAAGUGGUGGUGGUUUACCAGAAACCAUUCAUCGAAAAUUGAGAGAGUUUGAAGAAGCGACUAUGAAAUUGACUGGGUUCUUUGGAGAUGGCCACCCAAAUUGAUUUGAGUUUUUGGAAUAUGGUGGAUGGAAGUGUGGGUGCUCGAGGUGGGAACUUUGCUGCAUUAUACAAUCCGCUUUUCAGUUCUGUCCCUACUCUAGCACCUCUUGCUAUUUGCUCUCUCCAAAGCGAGAGAAGUAUGAGAGCUGUAGUGGGUUUAUGGGUUUCGUUGCGACUGGGAUGGCAGGUGUAGUGGGGAUGACAUUGAACGUUUAAUCCGGAAAUUAAGAGGUAGAGAGCUAUACAAAACUUGGAUUUUGACUUUUGAGUUUUAUUUUGGUAGUACUCUGAAGAAAAAAAGAAGAAGAAAGACGCAUCUUUUUGGAUGGAGCACAAUGUACAGGUUUUUAUACGUGUGCAUCCUCGUGCAUCCUCUCAAUAGCAUGGAGCAAAGUACACAUGGUUACAACAAGUGUUUGAAGCAAGUUCUUGGAUUGGGCAACCAGAAACUCGAUAAUCUUCUGGGUUUGAAUCUUCACGCUUUGUUUUGCCUCAGAGAUUAUUUCUUGGUUUAAAAUGGGUUUAGAUCUGAAGCAGACAAAGUCCUAUACUUCAUUUUGGUGACAAAUAUGUUUGUGUGAGUCAUACUUACCUUAUUUAUGUAGAUAUUAUAUAAUAUGUAAUAUUCUGUAAUAUUUGUAGUAUUAUUAGUUUACUACUUGCCUUAGGAAUAAUACUUGUCUUAUUAGGCACGAUUGUAAUCUAUAUAUAAUUCCUUCUUGUGAGGUGAAUGAAACAUUGAGUUAUUCAGCCAAAAUUGUCUCUUGUUUUUCGUUAUAUUUGACUUGGUAUCAGAGCAGAGAUCCGAUCCUGGACUCUGAUUCAUUGUUCUUUGAUC